CAUACGCCCUUUUUAUGUCGUUUUUACAGGAGCUGAAGGCACACAUACUGCCUCUGACAAAUGUUGCAUUUGACAAAUCGGGGUCAAGGUUUCUAACUGGGAGCUAUGACAGAACAUGUCGUAUUUGGGACACCGCCUCAGGCACUGAGCUGCACACACUGGAGGGUCACCGAAAUGUGGUGUAUGCCAUCGCAUUCAACAACCCCUUCGGAGACAAGAUUGCCACUGGUUCUUUUGAUAAGACCUGCAAGCUGUGGUGUGCUGAGACGGGUAAAUGCUUCUAUACGUUUCGAGGCCAUAUGGCUGAAAUAGUAAGUAUAGUAUUACG